GACGAACGCUGGCGGCGCGCCUAACACAUGCAAGUCGAACGAGCGAGAGAGAGCUUGCUUUCUCGAGCGAGUGGCGAACGGGUGAGUAACGCGUGAGGAACCUGCCUCAAAGAGGGGGACAACAGUUGGAAACGACUGCUAAUACCGCAUAAGCCCACAGGUCGGCAUCGACCAGAGGGAAAAGGAGCAAUCCGCUUUGAGAUGGCCUCGCGUCCGAUUAGCUGGUUGGUGAGGUAACGGCCCACCAAGGCAACGAUACAUAGGGGGACUGAGAGGUUAACCCCCCACAUUGGUACUGAGACACGGACCAA
rnacentral:rRNA from 1 species